UUCAUUAGUGCAGCAUAAAAUACACAUUAGUACAAUAUAAUAAUUAUUAAAAAAAAGUAUACAACAAAUAAUAUUAUGAAAAUUUUCUACUGUGGCAACAGUGUGUUAAUUUCCUCAUUUAGCGCUUCUUCGUACCUAUUGUCACUUGUCAAAAAUCAUAUGUUCUCUGUCAAAACUGUCAGUCGCUUUGUUUAUUGUCAUCAGGAAAUCAAAAAAAAACAUAAACCACAAUUUUUUUUUAGAGGUGCUAAAAACCAGUGCUAUAUUUGUGUUCUGUGCUAAAAACACUCUUCUUGGAUACAUAAAAAUUAAUUAUGUAUGUCAGAGAGCAGGCAUUGUCAGAUCCAUGUGAAAUAACAUCCGUAAACUUCAAACAAAAGGCAGCAAUAAAAUUGGAGGCUAUUGUCCAGCUAAAAUGACUGUUUUUGAUAAAAAUGGUAAAUCUGAAGUCCAGUUUUGCAAAACACGUGUUGGUCAUGUUCGGGAGAAAGAUCUUGGAUAUCCGUCUUUGAGUAAAGCAGAAAGAGAAUGUAUUGCUUCAAAGAUAGCUGCAAAAAAACCCUUGCAACUCAUUCUAGAUGAGAUGAGAGACUCAGUUUCUAAUUGCAAUUUGGAAUUCAUGCAUUUAUAAACAACGAGAGAUCUAAAGAAUAUUGAAAAUUUAUUUAAUUUAAAAGGCUCAUCUAGAGGCAUAGGUUAAUGAGCUCAGAGAGUGACUCUGUUCCUUUUUACAAGGCUUAAUUAUCAUGACAUAUUUUUUUUUGUAAAUGUGUAAUUUGCACAUUAUUAUUUAUGGUAUUCUACCUUCUCUAUCUAUCCUAUUCGAGUCAGUCAGUAAAAGAAUAGCUGAAUAUACACUUUGAAAGCAAUAAACUGUUUGCCAAUGUGCAGUUUGGUAGUAAUAAUAAAUCCACAACAUUGCCAAUAGACAAUCUUAUAAAACUCGUAACUGAGGGAUAGGAGCGGGGUAAUGCUUUUUAUGUUUCUUUUUAUGAUCUCAUUAAAGCAUUUGAUUGUGACUCUCAUGAAAUUUUGAUCCACAAACUAAAAUCUUACCACCUGGAUGAGGUGAGCAUAAGGUUAAUUCAGUCCUAUCUUCAGGUCUGCACUCAGUAUGGUAGUUUCAAUCAUAGGUUCUACUUUUUACACAUAACUUUGGUAAUAAGAAAAUUCUAUUAGUUUAUUUGUUGGCCUGCUACAUAAACAAAUUUAUAACAGAAGAUCUGUUAUAAAUUUGUGUACUCUGUUAUAGUAUCUUACUACUCAUUUUGAAAAUGUCUUAUGACUGCUUAGAGGCAUUUCUAGCAAACAGUUACCAUGAUUUGUCUAAAAUUCUGAGUAUAUAUAAACUGAGUUUUUUUUUUAAUUGUGAGUGUAAAGCCAUUCUGCCCAGUUCUAUUUUACCAGGAAUGUCAAUUUAUGAAGGACAAUUUAUUUAUUUAUUCAUCAACGUAUAUAACAUUUCAAGUACUUAUUAAUAAUUAACAGUAGUCUUAAGUAAAAACUAUAAUACUAAUAAACAAUACUGUGCUAAACAUAAUCCAAAGAGUGGGAGUAGGGCACUAUCCCAAGAUAGUUGCCCUAGCUGACGACUUAAAUUUAUUUAAAGAUGUACUGAAAAAAUCAAGAUCUUUUGCAAAUCUAUUCACUGUAGAAGCUAUUCUAUUUAUAGGACUGUUUAGUAGAUAGGAUGUUCUGCAAAAGGGAAUGUGGAGAAGCCCUGACCUCGUGUUGUGUAAGAAGAUACAUGCAAAGAAAAAAGGCACAGACAUUCGGGACUUCUAACAAUACCAUUCAGAACCUUAAACGCAAAGCAAACAUCAAAGAACUGCCUUCUACUUGGUAAGGAGUUUAUGCUCAGGUAGGACAUGGUCUCUGAACAGGUAAGAUCCAGGCCUGACUUCAUAAGAGUAUAUCUGGCAAACCUGAUAAACUUGUGCUGGAUAUUUUCAAGCCUCUCAAUGUGAAUCAGAAAAUGAGGUGACCAAACAAUAUUGGAGAAUUCGAGAAGAGAUCUCACCAGGCAAAUAUAUAGUGUCUUCAAUGCCGACACAUUAUAUUUUCGAAGUGGUGGGAGAGUAAGACUCGGGUCCAGAAAGACACCCAAAUACUUGACUGAGUCAAGCUCCUUCAAGGGGAUACCAUCUAUAACAUAUUGACAAGGAGGGGAGACCCUUAUACGAGUAAACCUCAUAAACCCACAUUUCUUAACAUUCACGCCGUGAGGAUUCCUGAGCCAGUUAAAUUUUUAAUUAGUCAAAAAGGUUUAACAGGAAAUAAAUAAAAAAGUAACUAUGCUUUUUAACAAUUUAUUAAUUGUAGUCACAUUUAUUUAUUGAUAAUUUAUUAAGUGAAUUGUUUUUUUAAAAAAUAAGUUUCAUUUGAUCCGCUUAAUUUACACAAUAUUAUUCCGACAAUAGCUGUACCGCUGAUUGAACUUAGACCAUUAGCCUAAAUGAUAAGUUUCUCAAUUUAACAAAAUAAAGGAAAACACUUAUUUACGACAAAUCCUAACCUUAAAAUUACAAACGUACAUUGCUUUUAUCUGGACUCGGGUUUGUUCUUCGGUGGCUUAAAGGCCUUGAUUUUCUUCGCUUUGGUCUUGCCCUGCGCUUGAAAACUUUGCCAACUGUUAACCCUGUUUUGUCUAGAUUCCUGUUAAAAAAAAGCCAAAUAAAAAAAAUGGCCUGAAUGGCCCAUUUAGUUGAAAAAAAAACCAACCUCAAAAUUCUUUUGCCACUCUUUUUGUGCCUUGGCGUUUUCUUCCUCUUCGAUUUCCUGCUCCCGUUUUCGCUUUCUCUCCUCCUGGUCCCGGCCGGCCAAAUCCCGCCUUUUCCUCUCUAAAUCUGCAAAAAGUUUCAUCGUGAGAACAUAGACGGCGUGUUUGUAUUUUUCCGGGUCGUCCUCCGGGAUACCGCAAGAUCUACCCUCUUUUUUGGCUUUUUUUCUCUUCUCUACCAACUGAAAAUCUAUUUAAAUGCGUCCUUAUUUUAUAUAUCAAACUCUGCCUUACCAUCAGGUCUGUACGUCCUACGGCUUCUUCAAUGAUGUCCAUACACUUUUUCCUGGUUUCUUCAUUUUCUAAGGUUUUCCAGGCUUUGUUUACCGCCUCAAAAGCUUGCUGGGCCCUUUCGGGAUCAUCUUGGUUUUUAUCGGGAUGCACUAAAAUUGAUAGUCUUCUGUAUUUUUUCUUGAUUUCUUCUAGGGUUGUGUCAGGCUCGACUUGUAAUACAUCGAAAGGGUUUAAGUUUCUGUAGGUGGCCCCCGGUCUUAACAAACGUUCAAUUUGUUGUUUGGGGGUAAGAACUGAAUCUCGUUUUUCUAUUUCUUUUACCUAUAAGAGCAGAAUAGUAGAAGUUAAUAAAUAUGUAGUGGUCCUCAAAAAUAUAGUUAUACAGAUGUGUACAACCUAUAAAAAGAAUUUUGAAAUAUUUAGGCCUAGAGAAAAUAUAAAUAUAGAAAAACUGAUACAGCAAGUAAGUGGACUAAACAAAAAAUUGAUUCAAUCUCCUUACAUAAUUUUAAAACCCAAGAAAACUUUAAUGGAAUUGGGACAAACUAUAAAAUCGGCAUCAGAAACAGAAAAGAAUUAUUAAAGGGCAAAGUUAUUUGGAAAUGUCUUGGCAGGUGAUUACAAUUUACCACAUGCUAGAUGGGAGAAUGAUGAUCUUGGUUUGGUGGUUGUCUGGAGAAUGAUAGAGAGUCUGUGCUUUCUCUGGCCAACUGCUUUAGUUUCUAUAACUUUUUUCAGGUAAAUGGGGUUGCCUUGGAUCUCGUAUUUAGUAGCUCAGAUUUAAUUAGUGUUGAACGUGCAAUAGACAAAAUUUUUGAGAAUAGCUUACACCAUACAGCAAUCAGUUUUGAGCUUUGUUGUGCAGAAAAUUCUGAUGAUAUGAUAUAUAAGGAAUAUUUUUAUGAUUUUGGUAAGGGAGAUUACAUAGCAAUUAACGAUUGUCUUUUGCUGGGAUAGACUGGAAUCAAUUGUUUUUGGGAGAGACAUCUAUUGAUGUUAUAGUUUCAAUUUUCUAUAAUGUGAUCUACUCCUCAAUGGAAAGGUUUAUUCCUCUAAAGAGGUACAAAAGUUCUUCUUUUCCAUUUUGGUUUUCUUCAGAGCUUCGCAGUUUGAUCAUAAGAAAGACACAAAUUCACAAAAAGUUUAAAAUUAGUGGUCAACAGCAGGAUUAUGAUGAAUUUGUAUUGUUGAGACAACAAUGUGAGUACUUAACGAGAGUUGAGCUAUCAACAAUACAUUAAUAAGGUGGAAAUGAAUCUCGCUGGCAAACCAAGGUACUUCUGGUCAUAUAUUCAAAAUAAAAGAACUGGUUUUAGUCUUCCCUCCAGAAUGAAAUACAAUAACAGGAUUAGUAUGAAUAUCUUGGAUACUGCGGAUAUGUUUGCAGAAUACUUUUCAUCAGUCUAUUCGGAUGAGCAAGUCAAUGACAUACCAUCUUUUGAUUUUGAUAAAUCAAUUUGUCUGAGCACUUUAACUCUGUCAACGCAGGAUGUUUAUGAGGUUAUUACUUCCUCUAAGAAUAAGCUCUGCGCUGGACCAGAUGGGAUUCCGGCAUUCUUCCUAAAGAAAUGUGUUUGUGUUCUUACGAAACCAAUACUGUUCAUUUUUAACAAAUCUUUAGGUACUGGUUCUUAUCCCACUCUCUCUGGAAGAGAAGUUUUCUAAAACCCAUUUUUAAAUCUGGUAGUAGAAAUGAAAUUUCCAAUUAUCGGGCUGUGUGUAACCAAUCUGAGUUACCAAAGCUGCUUGUCUGCCUGGUCAGUCAUAGGGUUGCCUGGAGUUUUAAAUCUUUAUUUAAUCCUGAGCAAUUUGGAUUUAUAAAAGGCAGAUCUACUGAUGCUAAUUUGGUGCUGUAUGUCAACUACCUCUACCGCUGCUUGGAGAAGGGACUUCAGGUUGACUCAAUAUAUACAGAUUUUCCCAAAGCUUUUGAUCAGGUUAACCAUGGGGUACUCUUGCAGAAGCUUAGGGUUUAGGUAAUUGUGGGGCCUCUUCUUCAGUGGAUCUCGGGAUUCACCAGAGGUAGAACCCAGAUUGUUAAUCUUGGAGGUACAUGUUCCUCUGAAAUUUUGGUGCCAUCUGGGGUGCCACAGGGCUCUCACUUGGGCCCUAUUUUGUUUUGCCUCUUUUUGAUUGAUUUAGUUUGGAAACUUGAAAAUUGUCGUGUGCUAAUGUUUGCUGAUGAUGUGAAGCUAUUUAGGCUUAUCACAUCCCUUUCUGAUGCUGUGCUCCUGCAAAAAGACCUCAAUUUGUUCUUUGAUUGGUGCCACUUGAAUAGAAUGUCCCUUAAUAUCAAUAAGUGCCAUAAGAUUACUUUUUCUAAGCAAAGAAACCCUAUUGCUUUUCUUUAUAAAAUAAAUAAUGUAGCAAUUGGUGUCAAAACAGAGGUUUCUGACUUAGGAAUAUUUAUCGACUCCAGGUUGUCUUUUAAAAGUCACAUCAAUUAGGUGACUGGUAGGGCAAUGAAAAUGCUGGGUUUUAUCCAACGGUCUACAACUUGUUUACUUUUAGAUUACUUUAUUGCUCUCUUGUUAGGCCCAUCUUGGAGUAUGGCUCAAUUGUGUGGUCCCCGUCAUAUAACUGCUACAUUGAGCAGAUUGAAAAAACUCAAAAUAAAUUUUUAAGGGUGGCUGCUUUUAGAUGUGGUUACAGGAGACAGGAGUAUUACUAUCAGUGGGUCAGGGAUAACCUGAACUUACCCACAUUAGAGUCACGAAGAACAUUACUCGACUUAUAUUUUAUGCAUAAGGUUUUAAAUGCUACUAUAGAUUGUCCCGAGUUAUUGUCUCUUUUCAAACUUAGGGUGCCUUCCAGAUUGAAUAGACAAUCAGAAAUAUUUUCAGUCCCAUUCCACCAUACCAAUUAUGGCAUUAAUGAGCCAAUUACACGAAUGGCUCGAAGUGCUAAUGGUCUGUCAGGACAGAUAAACUUUUUUGACUCUAGGAUAACAUCUUUUAAGGGGCAGUAAAAGAAUAUUAUUUCAUAGGGGCUUUAAUUAAUUAACUCAUCUACACCUUUCCUUGAUUUAUAGAUAGUUUUGUAUCUGAAUAUAUAUGUUUGUAUGGGUAUGCUCUGUAACAGUUUUGUAAAUGGAUUCCGUAAAUAAAUAAAUAAAUAAAAUGUCCAACGAAAAGUUACACAGAUCUACUUAAAGGCCCCGCCACCAGAGUAUUGGGUCAUAAGUAUAAUAUAAUGGAAACAAACUCUUGAAACAGCCUAGAAUAAAAAUACCUGGAGUUUCAAAGAAGUAUGGCAACAAAAAAAAACCUGGAUAAUAGAGAAAAUGACAAGGGCUGCCCAAGCUACAAACACUAACUAGAGCUAGCUAAAUAUAAAAAUUAUACUCUAAUUCAAUCCUUUACUCAUCAAUAAUUUGAGAUGUAAGAUUCCUCUGAAAGUGUGCAAUUAUAAUUUAUAAACCAGGGGUUUAUAUCAUACUUAGGACCGAAAGUUUAUAAUUUAAUUCCUGUCGAAAAAGUGAGUGUUCUAUGUUAAAUUUUAUUGGUUGUAGAGUGGUAAUGAGGAUUGCUGUUUCAUGUUGAUCAGUAUGUAUUAAGAUUAAAGAUUGGGCGCGAUACUUUUAUGUGUAACAGUUUGUUAUAAUGUUAAAAUGUCUGUAAUAGGUUAUAAAGUCUUUAAAGAAAAUUAUGUUGUGUUAACUAGUAAGCAAGAUUUAUUAUGCACAGUUCAGGUACAGCACUAAAAUAUAAUAGGCAUAUAAAUUUAGAUAGAAUUGUAGAAUUAAAUUAAAGAAUUGUUAACUAUAUUAAGAAUAAAUAAAAAUAAACACUAAACAUACCUCUGUAUAGAAGGAGUUGAAUUUGGUGUCUUUGUCGCGGUCCGAGCCCGAAGCCAUUUUUUUAUAACUAUAAAGUAUUACUUCUAGGCAAUAUUAUUCUUAAUAAAUUGUUUAUUAUUUAAUACUAUUUCAUUGAAUAACAAUAUUAUUAUUAUACACAAGGCGACAAAAAUAAACAAAGUUUGACAAUAAUGACAAGACAUAUCAAACGUCAUUGCCAUAAUAUGUCAACGUUUAUGCCGAUUUCCGUUUGUAGUAACGAUUUCUACUUGUGAACGGGGAAUAACUAUCUGUGGAGCAGACUUUCCAUAUGCAUUUUGUCCUUUUUUUCAAGAUGGCGUUCCAAAUGCACUUUGUCCCAUGCAAAUUAAAUAAUGAAAAUACCUUGGACUUUUUAUAUGGUAUAUGUCCAUUACCAGUAGACAAACUAACAGAAGUUUGUCCUUGCACUGUGGACUUAUUGCCAUUUGUUUGUCUUUACACUUGUUGCGGUUAGAAGUGUUUAUUUUGAGUACUUUCAAGUUCUUUCAUUUUUACGGAAUAAAUUUAAAAUAAUGGAUUUCCCUGUGACAGGGGAUCAUAUAGUUGGUGAUACGGAUCGUGGUAGUAGAAAAAGAAAAAAAUCUUACGUCUAAAGAGCGUAAAAGUAAUGUCAGGUAAGUCUUACUUUUCCGCUACGCGGCCAUUCGUAGUUGCCAGCGGAUCGUGUUUUCGGGCAAAUAGAAAAAGUUACACGAUCCUACAGUACAAUAAAAACACCUACAAAAUAUCAUGAGAUAUACUCCAAGAAGGGAGACGUUAGACAACUUGGUAAGGACUGGGUUGUUUACGAUAUAAAAACUGCGUUAACCUCUUUAAAGAAAAUUGCAGGGAUCAGUGCGGCCAAACGGAUUAUUAUUAAGAGAUCACAAAACAAUAGCAAUAUUUUGCUUAAGACCGAGUUGUUCUACAGAAAUGACGAUCCAUCCAAGCAAUUUCAAACGUUAUUAAAACGCGGAAAAAAGCGUUCGACUUUACAGCUACCUGUUGUAAUGCUUCAAAAUGAUCUUACAACAAAAAAACUCCAGAGCCUCUCAAAACUUUUGGUGGAACUAUCAGGGGCAAAUUGUAUUAAUGAUCCUGAGUUAACAUGGUUGCAACCUAUUCUCUCUAAUAACCAUGAACAAAAUGAGAAUCAAGUGAACCAAGAUGAAACUGAGGGUGAUAAUGCUAGCGAAGAAGGUGACAUGCUAUGUGAUUGCAAUAAUGAUGACAACGGGGACCUCUGUGACAUUUAAAAAUAUUUUGUAUAUCAAAAAUAAAAUACUGAUCUUAUAAACCUA
rnacentral:lncRNA from 1 species